ensembl:lncRNA
AGGAAGACUCAAAGCCCGAAGGGGUGGGAAUGCAAGGGGAGGCAGGACCCCAACACGGGGCCCCUCACUCGGGGCGCUGGGGCUUGCAGAUUGUGUUCCCUCAACCCUUCCUGGUUCGGGGACCCAGGACCCUGUGAACUCAGUCUCACGCCUCAGGACAGAAAUUAGCGGAACCCAAGCGAGACCAGCUUCUCCACCAGGGCAGGAAGUUCUGCAAUAACUGGAAGCAAUCAAAGGCUAGGCGCUUUGUCGCCAAGGAGGCGUGACCCAAGGUGCAAGAAAACCCAGCCCUGUGGAUCGCACCGCUUCGGUUGCUUCUUGCCCCGCACCUCCUUGGUCCCGCCGGGAUCUCGGCGGUUUAAUUCUCCUCUUAAUUGAUCAGGAGGCCCGCACCAGUUCCUUCUCCUUUGGACUCAGUUGCUUUUCUCUCCUCUCUUUUCCUAUCCUUUAUGUGUCAAACUUUGCAGGACACAAUGCUCCUUUUCAAAGUUAGCAGGCGCUUUAGUAGGGGAUCAGGAGAUGUCCCCGGAUCGAAUCCUCGAGAUCUGAAGAGAACCGAGGUCCCCCACACGCGCACUCACAGUUGCCCCGAAGCGUAGUCCCUUGACUCACAAGAGACAGAAAACCGCUGCCAGCGCAGCGACGCCAGGCGAGCGGACUUGCGCUACGCUCGCCGCGGGCUCCCGCUCUCUCUCUCUGCUCUCUCCCCCUCCCUCUUUGCUUUUUAUAGCUUCUCACACCCCCGUGGCUCUCCAGGUCCAAUUCCCUUCGGUUGAAGGUCGAAGGCGGCUCCGGGAACUACUGGGACGCGCUGGCGCUUGGGGGCGCCAGUGGCAGCCGUUCAGCGAGCCACGGAAGUGCUGCAGGAGACAAGCGCGGAGUUCGGUGAUGUCUGGUGGCCAAGUGCGAGACUUCCCAAGCACAGCAAGGGAUUGUUCGAAAGUUGUUGCAUUUCUCCUUCGCAGACACUAACAUCCAGGAGCAGAGAAAUCCAAGCAUUGAGCCACAACUUGAAGUUAGAAGGCUGCUAGCCGCCAGGGGAGGAUACUAGCAGCAUCCUCUUCAGAAUUUUUGGACCUAGAUUUCACAGCUUUCACACCUGAUCCUGGCGCAUGUCCAUGAGUAGGAAUUAAACUUGUCGCUAAGUGAGAAUGUUAGUGACUCUUAUUUUCCCCCAAACAACGCAGAGUUCUAAAGUGUGGAUUUAGAGCUAUUUUCUCCCAGACAGCUCCAGUUUUGCAAAUUUCUCAGUCUUGACCUAUGAAUCUGUCUGCCCUGAAAUUCUUCAUUUUCAGAAUUUUUUUUAAUACACAAGCAAAUGGGGAUUAAAAUUUGCACCCUCUGGCAUGUGUUCUUAUCUUUUGAAUUUCCUUUCUUUAAGAUAGAGAUUUUUUCACAUUUUAGUGUGUGUGUGUGUUCCCCCCCCCCCCCCCCGCUUUAAAAAUAUGCCGGGAAUAACAAUAUGGAUGACCCUUGAAGGACAUCAUAUGAUCAAUCACAGAAAGACAAAUCCACUUAUAGGAGGUACCUAAAAUAGUUAAAUGCAUGGAAUCAAAGGUUGGAAUGGUGGAUACCAGGGAUUGGAAGGAGAGGAGAAUGGGGAGUUACUAUAUCAAUGAUCACAAAGUUUCAGUUAACCAAGAUGAACAAACUCUUGAGAUUUGCCAUAUGGUAUUGUACCUAUAGCCAACAAUAAUGCAUUGUACUUUUAAAAACUUAUUGAGAAGGUAGAUCUCAUGCUAUAUAAACUUUAUGUGUGUGUGACAUUAUAUACAUAUACAAUGUAUAUAUAUGUAUUUAUAUAUAUACACACGCAUGUAAUAUUAUUGUAGUAAGAACAUUUAACAUCUAUAUAUGCCCAGUAAUAAAUUUGUAAGUUUAUAAAGUAAAGUGAGGCAUUUUAGGCACUAAUAAAAAGCAAGGAGAGGGGUCCUUACUCUAUAAAUAAAGUACUUAGGAUUUCGAGCUUAGAUUUUACGGAAGAGUAUAUCUUUUGCCUUCAUUUGGGGUUUGCCAAUCAGAAAGCAUGACAGAAAUUGAGAAAAUUAACUUAGGAAUCUACUGGUUUAAAUAUUUCUGAAAAGUAGCUUAGAGCAAAAGG